CAAAGGGUCAAGAGAGGACUAAGGCAAGACCUCUUGGGUCCCACAAGUGAGCAGUGGAGGGCAUUCGGAUGCAAUGAUCUUUCAGCCCUAACAUUCUGGAAGUCUGAUUCAAAGAGUCACACCCAGCAAAGGAAAACACAGAGACUAGACGGAAUCAGUGAAGAGGUGGCUGGUCAAAAGCAGCACAUGUAUCGUGUUUUCAAAGCUCAGCAGUGACUCAGGAAGGCA
rnacentral:lncRNA from 1 species